rnacentral:rRNA from 1 species
AGAGUUGAUCCUGGCUUAGGACGAACGCUGGCGGCGUGCCUAACACAUGCAAGUCGAGCGGGGACAUUGCGACGGACCUGAAGAUUCGGUUGGAUGGAAAGAUGUAAUGUCUAGCGGCGGACGGGUGAGUAACGCGUGAGCAACCUGUCCCUUACAGGGGGAUAACACAGCGAAAGUUGUACUAAUACCGCAUGAGACCACGGAGUCACAUGGCUCAGGGGGUCAAAAGGAGCAAUCCGGUAAGGGGUGGGCUCGCGUCCGAUUAGAUAGUUGGUGAGGUAACGGCCCACCAAGUCGACGAUCGGUAGCCGACCUGAGAGGGUGAUCGGCCACAUUGGGACUGAGACACGGCCCAAACUCCUACGGGAGGCAGCAGUGGGGAAUAUUGGGCAAUGGGGGAAACCCUGACCCAGCAACGCCGCGUGAGGGAAGAAGGUUUUCGGAUCGUAAACCUCUGUCCUAUGUGAAGAGUAAGAGACGGUAGCAUAGGAGGAAGCCCCGGCUAACUACGUGCCAGCCGCUGC